GAUGAACGCUGGCGGCGUGCCUAAUACAUGCAAGUCGAGCGAACAGACGAGGAGCUUGCUCCUCUGACGUUAGCGGCGGACGGGUGAGUAACACGUGGAUAACCUACCUAUAAGACUGGGAUAACUUCGGGAAACCGGAGCUAAUACCGGAUAAUAUAUUGAACCGCAUGGUUCAAUAGUGAAAGACGGUUUUGCUGUCACUUAUAGAUGGAUCCGCGCCGCAUUAGCUAGUUGGUAAGGUAACGGCUUACCAAGGCAACGAUGCGUAGCCGACCUGGGAGGGGGAUCGGCCACACUGGAACUGAGACACGGUCCAGACUCCUACGGGAGGCAGCAGUAGGGAAUCUUCCGCAAUGGGCGAAAGCCUGACGGAGCAACGCCGCGUGAGUGAUGAAGGUCUUCGGAUCGUAAAACUCUGUUAUUAGGGAAGAACAAAUGUGUAAGUAACUAUGCACGUCUUGACGGUACCUAAUCAGAAAGCCACGGCUAACUACGUGCCAGCCGCCGCCGUAACAC
rnacentral:rRNA from 1 species